rnacentral:tRNA from 1 species
GUGCCUGUAGUUCAGUUGGUUAGAGCGUCAGAUUGUGGUUCUGAAUGUCGUGGGUUCGAGUCCCACCAGGCACCCCA